CUGCCUGUUUGUUGUGUACCACCACAGGCUUUCUUUUGUUGUUGUUGUUGUUAAAAAUAAGUUCUCACCAGGCUAGCGCUGAACUUAAUCUCCUCAUGCUUUAAUGUUUUCUGAAUGCUGAGAUUGCACGUGUGUCAUCAAACCCAGUUCCCCUCAACCCCUUGUGAAGGAGAAUGCUGCUCCUUUAAGGAUGGCACCCCGACUCUCUCCACAGUUCACUGCAGCCUCUGUCAUGAUUUCCUAACAUCUCGGCCAUAAUUCAUUUAUUCGUGUUUCUCAAGAAUCCAUUUUUUUGGUUGAACUUGUCCUCAAAGGCCAUCAGAGUCCUCUGCGCAUAGUGGGCUCUCAGGAAUAUUUGGUGAAUGACGACUGAUUAAUGAAUGAAUGCGUGACUCAGAACAGAUGUGUGGGGCCUGUAAACAGGGGUGACCUCUCAGUACCCUGUGGUGAGAGACAGCACAGCUGGAGUGGAGAGUGGAAGCCAUGCCUCUGGGAGAGCAGCCCGGCAACAUCUUUUCUCACUUCUCUGUAGCCCCAGGACAGGAGGAGGCCACUGACCCUGUCCUUGUCCCGUUCACAGGAAACUCCAUAUCUUCAGGGAAUGACCUUGGGACAUCUAGCUAUGAGACUACUUCAUGCCCCCAAACUUCUGUUGUAUUCAGAGGCACAGGGAAGCUUUGCCGCAUUUCGGAACAGAAGGGGCAAGCAUGUCCAAGGUGUUCUCACAGCCCAGUCUGUCUGGUACACGUAUUAGCACGAAACUAGGACCAGAGUCUACCAUGUACUCCUGUGUGCAUAGGAAAAGUUAAUAACAGACACAGUGAUGUCGCACAACACCCCGGCUUGCUUGUACCUACAGGAAGUCCUCUUAGAUUGGUUUACUCCCUGCCUACUAGGGAAAAUGAGGCUUGGCAAGCUGAAAGCUGGUAACAGAACCAGGGUUGUAGACCUUAGUCAACCCACACCCUGCCCCUGCCCCAGUCCCAAGAGGACAGAAAUGGGAUCAACCCUAAGCCGUGCACACUUUCCUUAGAACUCCCAGUGGCAUGGCCUUCUUCUCCUCUGACUGGAUAGGGCGGUGCAUGGAGGGCCGAGGAGGCUUGGAGAAGAAAACCAAGUCAUUUCUUGUCACACAAAGUCACAGGACAUAAAGACAACUAGACAUCUCCUUAAGUCUGGGGAGGCAUUGACCCUCUUCCAGAGGUCUGGAGAACCUGAGGUAACAGAGGCUGAGGCCUGUUCAAGAGAGCCUGCUCCAGAUCUGGUGUGGAAGGGCAGAGGACAGGCCCCUCCUCCAGCCACAGGCUCCUUAGGGACCCCAGGGCUACAAUGGCUGGGUCUUAGCAGAAUCUGGCUCAGGGCUGGGCUGCUGUUGCUUGUUCUUGUCAGGUGUUCUGGGCCUCGUGCCUGAGCGUGAGGGGCCUUUCUUCCUGGUGGCUGGUUCUUGAAGGGCUGUCCAGGAAGUGGAGGUGUGGUCUCAGGACCUGCAGGCAUGGAGGUCCUCCUCCCCUCAUAGCUACAGCUCUGUGAUCCCAAGAGGAGUUCUCUAACUUGGUGGUCUGGAUGGCCUUUCAGGAAGGACCACCCCAAUCUCUGGGGCCUAGCUGCCACACAGGCCUGUGCUGAUCAAUAUACAAGCUCUACACAGCUCUUACCUCAUCUCCUGGCAACUGUGCCCCUUACUGCUCCCCUACUUGCCUCUGUCCAGAUCUGACUCCACCCCUGUACCUUUGCUUUGCCUGGCCUUUCUCUGUAUGCAUUCAGGUCCAGUGCAUCGCGCAAGGCCUCCUUGCUCAACCCUCCUUGACUGCAUCACACAACUUUGGGCUUUUCCUGCCUUCUGAUUGUAGUUGAGGGCUAUGUAGUCAUAUUCUGCUUACUUGCAUCACGGCCAGGUCCUCUUCCACCAACAAUGAAUUGAAAGCCUCCUACAUAAGGCAGAUGGUGAUGACACACUGAGGCUUGCUGAACCGAGGGCAGCAGAUCCUGCAGGAACCAGGAGCUUGCCGCUUCAGCACUUCCUCCUGCCUCCUCCACAUGAAUCCAACCUCUGCAGCAGGAAGGAUGCAGUGAGCUCACCAUGGAUGUCCUGCUCCUGGCUGGACCAGUUUAGUAUGGAGACUCAGGCUCCACAUUCCCUGCUUCAGUCCCGAACAAGAACUGCGGAUGAAGGGGGAUGGCCCGAGACUCCUUGUGGUGGUGUCAACCUGACAAAAACCUAGAAUCCCCUGGGAGACAGGCCCCUGGACAUACUCACGGGGUACGGGAAGAGCCACCUUCAUUGUGGGCAGGAGAUCCUGGACUGUAUAGGUAGCUGCAGGGAGGGCCGAGCAUAAGCGUGCAUGCAUUCAUCGCUCUCCGGUAACUGCUUCCACUCCUGAUGGCUCAGCUUCUCCGUCCUGAUCGACUGUAACCCUAACUGUGGCCCUGCUGUUGCUUGUUGUUUCCGGGGUGUCAUGAAGCUAGAGCUCUGCCCCUUACCUCUGGGACAGGGCACAAAGUCAGAGCUGAAACAUUUCCAGGAUGCCCUGUGGAACCUGUGCAGCUGCCUAGGCUCUGUGUCGAGCAGCUCCGACAGCAUCGUAAACCCUGACUAUACCUUCUUUUGUUUUGUUUUUUAUUUAUUUUUUUGAGACAGGGUCUCAAUAUGUAGCACUGGCUAGAAGCUUUUGCCUAUUUUGUUCAAACUUCUAAAACGUACCUGGCACACAGUAAGUGUUUAAUAAAGAUUGAUGGUGAACACUUCUGGAGCUGGGCAGGCUGAGGCUUUGGUUUCCUUAGUGCAGCAGAAAACAGGGAAACCAGGCACUCUCAACCCUACGUGUUGGAGUUGGAAAACUCAAAGUGGCAGAUGCUGUGCAGAGCGACUCACACACCUGCAGGAGGAGGAACAUGGGGCGGGUCUGGCCCAGGGCAACCGUGGCAAAGGGGACUUCCGGCUGCCCAGCCUCUGCAGCUCUUGAUAUUUGCUAAAACUGUUCCUACUGGGUUCAAUUUACUCUGCAGAUAAAUCUCAUUGCCAGCCAAAUGCCGUCAGGAGGAGUCACUCAGUCUUCUCGCUCCCCACUCCCCGCUCCAAGGCGGCAGCAUCCAGAUCCCUCUCUUUCUAUUUCAGUCCCUCUGGCAGCAUACCUCAGAUGACCUCCCUCCUCCAGCCUCUUCCUUUGGGCCCCUCACAGAGCCUGGCUUAGUUAUAUUAGCCAUCCUAUUGCUUCUUCCUCAGCCACUGCCCCCUCUCUGGGCUCGACACAUCUUCUUCUUCACCGAGGUCAUAGCGUGCAUGGCUAAGGGUGUGGCCACCAAAGACGGGCUGCCUGAGUUCAAAUCCUGAAUGGACCAAGUUGGGUGAAUCCUUUAACUGCUCUGUGCCACAGUUUCCCCCUCCGUAAGGUGGGGUGAUGAGGACAGUUUUCUUGAUAAGGAAUGUAUUUUAUAUGAGCAUAUAUUAAAUAAUAGCUAUGCA